UCAACAUGGAUACCCUGGGAGAUCACUCUCCCCAGUUCUGUCCUAGUACCAGAGUGGAGCAGAGGGCUCGGGCCCAUGAUAUACAGGCCCUUUCCACAACACUGGAAGUGAAACUGGCCUCUCAGCCUGGGCCUGCACAUUCCUACGACUUUCCAGAGUCCUGUGGGCAAUGACUAAGGAGGCGAAGCAUGCAGGAAGCAGGC
rnacentral:snoRNA from 1 species